AUUGAACGCUGGCGGCAGGCCUAACACAUGCAAGUCGAGCGAGGGGCGGGCGGGUGAGUAAUGUGUGGGAAUCUGCCUGAUGGGGGGGGAUAACUACUGGAAACGGUAGCUAAUCCCGCAUACCAUCAGAUGUGCCCAGGAGGGAUUAGCUAGUGGGUGGGGUAAUGGCUCACCUAGGCGACGCCCCCUAGCUGGUCUGAGAGGAUGACCAGCCACACGGGAACUGAGACACGGCCCAGACUCCUACGGGAGGCAGCAGUGGGGAAUAUUGCACAAUGGGCGCAAGCCUGAUGCAGCCAUGCCGCGUGUGUGAAGAAGGCCCUCGGGUUGUAAAGCACUUUCAGCGGGGAGGCGUUACCCGCAGAAGAAGCACCGGCUAACUCCGUGCCAGCAGCCGCGGUAAUUC
rnacentral:rRNA from 1 species